UACGUAGGGGGCGAGCGUUGUCCGGAUUCAUUGGGCGUAAAGCGCGCGUAGGCGGCCCCGCAAGUCGGCCGUGAAAUCUCCGGGCUCAACUCGGAGGGGUCGGGCGAGACUGCGAGGCUCGAGGUGGGCAGAGGGCAGUGGAAUUCCGGGUGUAGUGGUGGAAUGCGUAGAGAUCCGGAGGAACACCAGUGGCGAAGGCGGCUGCCUGGGCCUGGCCUGACGCUGAGACGCGAAAGCGUGGGGAGCAAACAGGG
rnacentral:rRNA from 1 species